UCCUACGGGAUGCAGCAGUGGGGAAUAUUGCACAAUGGGCGCAAGCCUGAUGCAGCCAUGCCGCGUGUAUGAAGAAGGCCUUCGGGUUGUAAAGUACUUUCAGCGAGGAGGAAGGCAAUAAGGUUAAUAACCUGUGGAUUACGACGCC
rnacentral:rRNA from 1 species